rnacentral:rRNA from 1 species
UACGGGGGGGGGCAAGCGUUUGUUCGGAAUUACUGGGCGUAAAGGGUGCGUAGGCGGCGCGGUAAGUCGGGUGUGAAAUCUCGGGGCUUAACUCCGAAACUGCAUUCGAUACUGCCGUGCUUGAGGACUGGAGAGGAGACUGGAAUUUACGGUGUAGCGGUGAAAUGCGUAGAUAUCGGGAGGAACACCAGUGGCGAAGGCGACUACCUGGCCUGUUCUUGACGCUGAGGCGCGAAAGCUAGGGGAGCAAACGGG